UGGGGGAAUUUUGGACAAUGGGCGCAAGCCUGAUCCAGCCAUGCCGCGUGCAGGAUGAAGGCCUUCGGGUUGUAAACUGCUUUUGUACGGAACGAAACGGCCUUUUCUAAUAAAGAGGGCUAAUGACGGUACCGUAAGAAUAAGCACCGGCUAACUACGUGCCAGCAGCCGCGGUAAUACGUAGGGUGCAAGCGUUAAUCGGAAUUACUGGGCGUAAAGCGUGCGCAGGCGGUAAUGUAAGACAGUUGUGAAAUCCCCCGGGCUCAACCUGGGAACUGCAUCUGUGACUGCAUUGCUGGAGUACGGCAGAGGGGGGAUGGAAUUCCGCGUGUAGCAGUGAAAUGCGUAGAUAUGCGGAGGAACACCGAUGGCGAAGGCAAUCCCCUGGGCCUGUACUGACGCUCAUGCACGAAAGCGUGGGGAGCAAACAGGAUUAGAUACCCUGGUAGUCCACGCCCUAAACGAUGUCAACUGGUUGUUGGGAAUUCACUUUUCUCAGUAACGAAGCUAACGCGUGAAGUUGACCGCCUGGGGAGUACGGCCGCAAGGUUGAAACUUAAAUGAAUUGACGGGGUCAUAGCUGUUU
rnacentral:rRNA from 1 species